GAGUUUGAUCCUGGCUCAGAUUGAACGCUGGCGGCAUGCCUAACACAUGCAAGUCGAACGGUAACGCAGCUAGCUUGCUAGUGGGCGACGAGUGGCGAACGGGUGAGUAACGCGUAGGAAUAUACCUUUUUGUGGGGGACAACUUUAGGAAACUGAAGCUAAUACCGCAUAAUAUCUUCGGAUAAAAGCUGGGGACCUUCGGGCCUGGUGCAAAAAGAUUAGCCUGCGUCCGAUUAGCUAGUUGGUAGGGUAAAGGCCUACCAAGGCGACGAUCGGUAGCUGUUCUGAGAGGAAGAUCAGCCACACUGGGACUGAGACACGGCCCAGACUCCUACGGGAGGCAGCAGUGGGGAAUAUUGGACAAUGGGGGCAACCCUGAUCCAGCAAUGCCGCGUGUGUGAAGA
rnacentral:rRNA from 1 species